AAGUCGUAACAAGGUUUCCGUAGGUGAACCUGCGGAAGGAUCAUUACUAAAGUUUUGCUUUACGCAAAGUCUUUUUUAAAAAAAGAUCACACCUUGCUAAUCGUUUCAUGUCUCUGGUAGUUUAGCAGCUAUGCUGGCCAAGUGCCCAGUUUAGCGCGUCCUACUGCCUCCUUCUCGGGGCUUUAGGGGACUACCGCCGGGGAAACCUGGAUCUUUUAACACUUAAGCCUUUAUUUAAAUGACUGAAGUUUAUUAUUUUAUAAUGAAUUACAACUUUUGGCAACGGAUCUCUUGGCUCUC
rnacentral:misc_RNA from 1 species